GACAGAGGGUGCAAGCGUUGUUCGGAAUUAUUGGGCGUAAAGGGCGCGUAGGCGGCUACAUAAGUCAUUUGUGAAAGCCCGGGGCUUAACCUCGGAAGUGCAAGUGAUACUGCGUAGCUUGAGUCUCGGAGAGGGUGGUGGAAUUCCCAGUGUAGAGGUGAAAUUCGUAGAUAUUGGGAGGAACACCGGUGGCGUAGACGGCUCACUGGACCGUAACUGACGCUGAGACACGAAAGCGUGGGUAGCAAACAGG
rnacentral:rRNA from 1 species